rnacentral:rRNA from 1 species
UACGAAGGGAGCGAGCGUUGUUCGGAAUCACUGGGCUUAAAGCGUGCGUAGGCGGACAAGAAAGUCAGGAGUGAAAUCCCGGGGCUUAACCCCGGAACUGCUUCUGAAACUUCUUGUCUAGAAUCCGGUAGAGGCUGAUGGAAUAUCCAGUGUAGAGGUGAAAUUCGCAGAUAUUGGAUGGAACACCAGUGGCGAAGGCGAUCAGCUGGGCCGGUAUUGACGCUGAGGUACGAAAGCGUGGGUAGCAAACAGG